UACGUAGGGUGCAAGCGUUGCUCGGAAUUAUUGGGCGUAAAGGGCGGGUAGGUGGUCUUAUUUGUCCGGGGUGAAAUCCUUGAGCUUAACUCAAGAAGUGCCCCGGAGACGGUGAGACUAGAGUUUUGGAGAGGGUCGUGGAAUUCCCGGUGUAGCGGUGAAAUGCGUAGAGAUCGGGAGGAACACCAGAGGCGAAAGCGGCGACCUGGACAAUGACUGACACUCAACUGCGAAAGCGUGGGGAGCAAACAGG
rnacentral:rRNA from 1 species